GAGAGUAUAGUUCAGUGGUAGAGCACAUGCUUAGCAUGCAUGAGGUCCUGGGUUCAAUCCCCAGCACCUCCA
rnacentral:tRNA from 1 species